rnacentral:lncRNA from 1 species
GGCUUCUGUGUACAGGGUCGACAUCUCUUUGAAGUCUCCAUGGAGCAGCUUGUAAGGGUUUCCCCGGAAACCUUGCUCUUUCAGAUGUUUCUCCAGCUUCUUCGGUCUAAACCAUACCCAGUUCAAAGCUUUCCAUGAGACUACUACUACUAACAGAAGAAGAAGAAGAAGACAAGAAGAAUACACAGUAAAGGUUGAGACAUAGGUGGCUUCCAUGUUGUGUUUUUGUUUUGUUGGUUUUCUUGUGAGAUUUCUACCUUUGUCGAGUGCAAAUUUACAUUCAGGUUGGGGCGAUGAUAACCUUUGGUCUUGUGCGUCCGCACGGCUAUCCGUUUAUUACUUGGAGAAGGGAGAAAAGGAGGAACUUUCAGCUCAGCAUAGCAUGAUUGACUUGGUACAAGUUUCUAUGUUACCAUGUGAUAAGAGAGUACACGAGAAUUUGGAGCCUAUAUCUAUAUAUAUAUUUCUCGGAUUUUAGAGCAAAGUUUUUUUUUUUUUUUUUUUUUUUGGGUGCAAUUGAGAGGACCUCCAAGCCAAUUUAAUUUAACUGGACCUUUAAGGCAAUUUAAUUAGAAGAACAAUUUUGUCACAGAAUUAGAAGGAUAUUCGAACUUUGCAUAAACCCUAUCGGAAAAACAAACAUAGAGUGGAAAUUUUAAUUAAAGGCUAAAUUUUUAUGUGCUUUAAAAUGUUGAACAGUUAUUUUUCUUUGGUAAGUAAAUUUCUGAACAAUUAUUUUUGUACAGAAACACUAAAAAUUUUGCUAAACUUAAAACGUUACAUGUGUUCAAAUCUCUCCUUUUCCUUUCUCAUUUUUUAAAUACCACCCCUUCCUUAUAUGUGUGAAUGUAGAGGACGUGACAUUUAAAGCACACAUAGAAAACACUUUCAAUUGUAGAUAAUUCUUAAGUACACUAAACUUCGAAAAUGUUAUGAACAUGGCUGUAUUGAGUGUAGAAUUUUAUGUGGUGGAACUGAAUAAAAUUUCUGUGGCAUUUCUGUGAGUUUUAGGUGGAAAUCAUAAAUAUGGUAGUGUGACAGCUAAAGUAGACAGACUGAGACAGCUUAGGAAACUGGCUAGCAAGGUCAGAUGUUCUAGAAGAACAGAAUAGACUAGACAAUGAAACGCGCACUCAAUUUCAACAAAUUGAUUAAUAUUGUACUGGCAACAACCAAGCUGUGUCAGCAGUUAUUGAAGGCAUCUGGAAGAAACUAUUGAAAGUGGAAAAUUCAUUUGCAAAAAAUUCAUUUUAUAGGAGGUUGAAAGAGCAGAACAUUAUUAUAAUUGUUCAAAAAUCAUGAUGCAUUAAUUAGCUGUGACACUGCGAUUAAUUAGCUUAAGAAAGAUAUGGAAUUUGCAAAAUCAAAUAUUUUAGACGAAAUCAAUUUUAUGUACAGGGUUAGCAUAAAUUUCAACAAUCCUCUGAUUUUAAUGCCUAAAUAUUCAAUUAUUACAUGGGAAAAAUCUGGAACAUGGAAUGAGUCAAACUAAGUGUUCGGAUAGGAGAUUAUUUGGGAUAAUUUUUUAAAAAAAUAUUAUAUCAUAAUUUUUUUUGAUGUGAUGUAUAUGAGAUAAAAAAAAUAAUUAAAAAAUACGUUAAUAAUGAAAAUAAAUAAAUCUCAAUGAACAAAGCACUAUCCAAACAAAAAUACAAACUAGAUGACCUAUGCCAUGACGAUGGCAGAUAAUCCUUCUCGAGGAAAAAUAUGCCCAAGCUUUGUUUUCUUUCCAAGUAUGUUAAAUUUAUCCUUAAAUAUAUCUAUGCCCUUUAUGUUUUGAGCUGUCCAAACUGUCUUUUCCUCUUGCCGUGGGAGCUGAGCUGAAAUAUGAUAAUCGGCUCUGUUUGGAUUGUAAAUUAUUUGAGAUAUUUUUACUGUAGCAUUUUUUAUGAUAUGAUGUAUGUGAGAUAAAAAGGUAAUUAGAAAGAUAAAAAGAUGUGUUGAAAAUUGUUAUGAUGAUGUAAGCAAAUAAAUUUUGGUAAAUAAUCCUCAAUCCAAACAAACCUAUGAGGUGAAAAAUAAACUAAUAAAUUAAAACCUGAAGUCAUGAAGUCAACAUACAGAAUGGGGUAAAUUAUGGUAAAUUACUAUACCAGCCCGUUCUUCUAAAAUUUUUAUCACACAAUCUCCCUAUUAUUCCACAAUAUCCAAUUGAUGCCCCGUGACUUUGUGUAAAAGCAAGACCUAAUAAAUUACAAAGGAAUGUGCAUAGUUGUUUUAAAUUUGAAUACCUCAUUAGUGGUCUCAAUGGUUUAUUAUUAUUAUUUUUCAAAAUAAAUCUGAAGACUAAUAAUUUCGGGGAGAGUUAGAUGUCUUUAAAUGGAAAGUACAUGUAGAAGGACAAAAAGGAGUACUGGCAAAUGGCAACAAAAUAGGGAACAAAUCAAAAUGAAUUUUAUUCAAGAAUCAUAGAGAGUUCCUAAAACAAAAUUUUUUUUUUUUUGAGAGCAAGCAGAUUAAUUAAGUUGUUAUAUGGUAGUCCUUUUUAAGUAUAGAGCAAAACUAUAGCCCUUUGAGUAGAGUGGUUUUUACCAAUUUGGCUAAACUUUGCAAUUGUUGUGCUUAAUUUUGUUGUCGAUUUCGUGUGACUAUUUACAAUUGGCAUGCCAAAAAGGCCGAAGAGUGGGAAUUGCUGUAUUAAAAUUAUAUAGUUCCAAUUAAAUUUCGUAUUACCGUCUUAAAGUAGAGAAAAUGAGCAUAUCACUAAUAGCAAAAUGAGGUUAACAUAUUCAUUUCAUUUUUUUUUCCUAGUAGGGGAGGUGUGAGGGUUUAAGAAGUAGCAAGGGAAAAAGGGAGAUUAGAACCUAAAAACUCUAUAUUCAGGGUCUCAACCUUCAAAUUUAGCCACUAAGCCAAUGUCUUCUCGGCGCAUAUUCAUUUCAUUUGAUGAUUCUAAGUGACCUUGCAGUGGAUAGUUAAUCAGAGCCGGACUAUGAUAUCGAUUGCCGCCUGAAAUUGCAGUUGAAUCAUAGGCAAAUUUAUGAUAUCGAUUGUUAUGAAAAAGAAGUCAGAAUCGGCAUUGAAAUUCAUUCUUGGUUGUUUCUAGCAGAAAAAAGAAGAAUGAGAAAAUAUUUUGGACCCACAUUAUAGCACAUUUAUGUCGAGUAACUACAUAGUAGUGCUAGCCAAAAAAAAAUCAAAUGAAGAUUUAAAACACUGCGUUAACUGUUUUGUCUUUUAUUCUCCCGUUAUUCUGUUCUCUUAAAUUGAUAUUUCAACAAUCAUUAUAACAUUUUAAACGAUAAUAACAAUAUAUUCAUAUAUAUAUAUAUAUAUAUAUAUAUAUAUAAAUAGGUAAUCAUAUUUUUUACACAUUUCCUCAGAGUUGCAUUAUGCAAAAGGUCAAACCACAAUAUUCUAAAAGUUUUGGUCUUAAAAGUCAUUCUCCUUUUAUUUGACUAAUUCUUCCUGCCGGCCUACUUCUCUUCGGCCUAAAAUUGCUCCCCACUUGUUCGUAUUCUUCUUAUGUUCUAUUCCGCGACCUUUUCCAUUUCCUACAUUGUUAAGCCGUGGAACGAAUUGCGAGCCUGCAAUGUUCAAAAUAUCAAUCUUCAAAUAACUUCAUAGCAAAUUAAACAAAGAUUGAUAACAAGAUUUCUUGUUUUACAGUUUCUUCAAGAUCAAAUGAGCUCCAUACUGGGGUUGAAGAGUGAGCACAACUUGAGGAGCAUGUGCAUAACUCGGCGAAAGCUCCCAAGAAAAGCGCCGUAAGAUCAAAGCCAGCGCCAUCUUUGCUUCCAGCAUAGCAAAAUUUUGCCCAAUGCAAGUUCGAGGUCCCCAACCAAAUGGAAAGAACGAGAGAUUGCCUUUUGUAGCCUUUGAAACUCCCUCACUGAAUCUUUCUGGAUUAAAUUCCUUCGCAUCAUCACCCCACAAGUCUUUGUCCUGCUGCAGCAAGAUUGGGGCCACAAAGAUGAACAUUCCUUCGGGCAGUGAUAGUUCGCCUAAUUUAGUUUCUUCGGGAAUCAUUCGAAAAAGAUUUGCUGCCGGUGGAUAUAGCCUUAGAACCUCGUUAAGGAUCAUGGUAACCUUUAGAAAAAUAAACGUAAACAGAAGAAUGAUUAGUGGAGAUUGGAUCAACUAUCAAAAAAGUGCUAAGAUGGGAACAUAAUUUUGCAAGUUAUACUUACAAUUUUGAGGUGAUUUAAUUUACUAAUAUCAGGUUCAUUGUUGUCAAAAACCUGUAGAACCUCAUCCCUGGCACGAGCCUGCCAAUCAAAAUGUUGACUCAAUAAAAUUAAUGUCCAGGCGAGCAAUCCUGAGGUUGUCUCUUGUCCAGCCAAAUAGAAUAGCUUGCACUCCUCGAUGACUUCUUCAAGGCUCAUGCCGUUCUUAUUUCCAUGUUGUCGGAUCUCAUUCAAAUUGGAUUCCAAUAAAAUACCCAACAAGUCAUCACUUGUAGCUUCACCUGUUUGAAUUUCUGAUAGAGCGGUUAUUUGACGCAUUUUGCACUGUUAUUUUGUCCUAAUUUUGGCUAUUCACGGUGCUAAGAAUUGAAAUUUCACUCAUAUUCGACAUUUGUGUGAAUUGUAGGUGGUCGGCAUAAAAAAUGAUCUCGCGAGGCAAAUUUCCAGAAGAUCUUUCAUUUCAGAGCGCGGCCACGCCAGAAAAGGUCUACGCUACCUAAAAGACGGACCGUGGUCCACGUGAACCCGGAGCACUGGAUUAGAACCUUUAAACAAAUUGUGGGCCUCCUAACCCUUUGAAGACUUCUCUGGGGCGGCGGCUAUAAAGAAAGGAAAAAGCAAGAUUCAGAAUCGCAGAGGACUUUUUAGCUUUAGUUUUCUUUUUCUACUUUUUGGUCAGACGCCUUUCUUGACUUUUGUUUUAUUCUUCGGCAGCAAUUACAUUAGAAAUUAGAUAGCUUUAGCUUUUCCCACUUUUAGGCCGAAUGGGUCAGACGCAAAAUACUUUUCUUUCCCUUGCUUUUGGCCUUUACGUUUGACUCUUUCACUUCUGUCUCCGAAUCUGUACAAUUUGCGUGGGCUUUGGCAUUGAAUUCCGGGAUUCAGUACGAAUGCCAACGCAGAGAUAAGGAAGACGCUUGCCUUUUUCCUUCUUCGCUAUUUCACUGUUCCAGAUUCUUUGAUGUUUGCGUGGAUGAAAUUAAUUAAUUCGCGCGAGGCUGAUACGAUGAGGAGCGGCUAAUUUCCUCCUCUACCCAAAGGUUGACGCGAGGGCGCGGUCCAUAAUAUCUGUGAGAUCUAAUCGAAUCUUCAUUAUUUCUUCCAAUUUAUUGCUAUUCAUGCGUUUCCUGAUUUAAUCGUUCAUGGGUAUUGUAUUAAUUGAAUAUCAUCGGCCGGGUAUUUGAUUUAAUUUAAUAGCCUACUGCCACGUUAAUUAAAUAGAAUCCGAAAUUAUUCAUUUAGUUAACACCCCGUGGCAACCACCAUAAUUGGUUUUAUGAUGGGGAAACGCAAGAUCUAGCUUAAAUAAACCCUCUUAGCGUGUUUAUUGGUUAAGGUUGGGUUCUUCUAGCUUUAAUGCAAUUGGGUAAUUAAAUUCCUACGGUCGUACCUAGGGUUGUUAUCUGGUUAGGGAAGCAGUCAAUGGUCGUACCUUGACUGUCGAAAAGGUAAGGAAGAACUGGUUGUCAGAGCUUAUUGAUAACUAUAACCAACCUAGUGAUGAAUGGGUGAAAUAUCUUUGCAUCGAUGAUCAUUUAAUUGGACCGUGCCUGAGCAGUUGAUCCUUUGGGUGGAAUUUUGUUAAUUGCUAUUUUUAGUGAAUUGUGCUUUGUGAGUUAGUUUUGAAUUUUGUUUGUUUUAUUUUAUUUUUAUUUGCCUCCCAUUGAAAAUCCCCCAAUUUCAUUCUACUAAUUUGGAAAGAAAUAAUUUCCUACCUGCUCCCUGUGAAAUCAACCCUACUUGCCAUUGUACGCAAAAUUAGUAUUUUUAUAGACAAAUCCGGUAUAUCGGAUCAAGCAAACUCUUCGAGAACAGGGUGAAUCAAGUAACCCAUUGCACACCUAGGGUCCAUGCUCCAGUACUUGGAUUUGUUCUAUAAUUAUUUAAUUGAGGUGGUAAUUAGGACUUUUUAGUAAUUAUUAUUGCACAGGUUCGGCACCUGUCAAUUUUUGGCGCCGUUGCCGGGGAGUUGGCGUUUGGAUUAUUUGUUUCUUUUCAAAUUCAGUUUUUAUUUUAUUUUUAUUUUAUUCUAUUCUUCUUGGUAUUUUUGCUAGUUUAUGCCCCGUUCUUCUCGCACAGGUGAAUUAGUAUACGAUCCUGAAGUUGAGAAGGCAGCGCGUAGGCGGAGGCAAGAGACCAAGAAGCGAAAAGAAGGGCCCUUAUUUAUUGCAAACAAGUCGGUAGAAGACGAAGUAAGUAUGGCCAACACCCAAACAUUAAGGGAGCUGGCUGCCCCGGAGCUGACUCACCAGCCUUUAUGCAUCACAUUCCCCACUCUGGCUGAGAAUACUGCUUUCGAACUGAAGUCGGGGCUGAUUCACCUCUUACUUUCUUUCCAUGGUCUCUCUGGCGAAGAACCCCACAAACACGUUAAGGAGUUCGAGGUGGUUUGCUUUAGUAUGAAACCUCUUGGGGUCACUGAAGAGCAAAUUAGACUGAGAGCCUUUCCUUUCUCCCUUAAGGAUGCAGCAAAGGAUUGGUUGUACUACCUACCAGCAGGUAGUAUUACCACAUGGGCACAGUUGAAAAAGAAAUUCUUGGAAAAAUUCUUCCCUGCAUCCCGGGCUGCGAGUUUGAAGAAGGAGAUCUGCGGCAUUAAACAAUAUCUCGGUGAGUCCUUGUAUGAAUACUGGGAAAGUUUUAACAAGUUGUGCACUAGAUGCCCGUAGCAUCAAAUUAGUGAACAACUGUUAAUCCAAUACUUCUAUGAAGGGCUCCAAUCAACCGAUAGGAGUAUCAUUGAUGCUGCGAGUGGGGGAGCACUUGCAAACAAGACACCGAGGGAAGCGUGGGAGCUCAUCGAAGCCAUGACAGAGAACUCCCAGCAAUUUGGCUUACGUGAGAGCAACCCUCCCCGUAGAGUCAACGAGGUAGAGACUUCAUCCAUACAGCAGCAACUGUCAGAAUUGACGUCUGUUGUUAGGCAAUUAGCCAUGAGAGACACGCCGCGAGCAAAGGUGUGUGGAAUCUGUACUAGCAUGGACCACUGCACGGACACGUGCCCCAUUUUACAAGAAGAUGGGGCGGAACAGGUAAACAUGGCCAGAGGCGUGCCCGCGCCCCGCAGGCAGUACGACCCGUACUCCAAUACGUACAAUCAAGGCUGGAGGGACCAUCCCAAUCUCAGUUAUGGGAACAGACAACAAAAUUCAUUUCCGAAUCGUCCACCAGGAUUUCAGCAACCAUGACAACCGAAACCGCAAUCCUCAUCCUCCAACACAGGGAGUUCCUUGGAGGAUAUUGUCAAGAGUCUGGCUACGACUACCGCCCAGAUCCAGCAAGAGACUAGACAGCUCCAGCAGGAGACCAGGUCAGUGACCACAAAUAUGGCUCAACUCCAGCAAGAAACUAGAGCCUUAACCAUGAGCACCACUCAGUUCCAGCAGGACACAAAAGCAGGCAUGAAAGAUAUGGAGACUCGAAUAAGCCAAAUGGCAACUGUCAUCAAUCGCUUGGAGUCCCACGCUUAUGGAAAGUUACACUCACAACUCGAAGUAAAUCCCAGGAAUGUAAGUACCAUGACACUGAGGAGUGGCAAGACACUGGAAGGGCCUAAAGAGGGAAAUUCAAAAGGCAAGAGUGAAGAGGAGAUAGAGAAGGAAAUUGAAGAGGAAAGGCGUAUUCGCAAGGAUCCUAAGGUAACCGUCACUUCUCCGCCCACUAUUAAAUCUAACUUACCUCCUUUUCCUUGCAGGCUGGAGAAGACAAAAAAGGUAGAGAAGGAAAAAGAGCUUUUAGAUGUGUUCCGAAAAGUGGAGAUUAACAUCCCUUUACUGGAUGCAAUCAAGCAGAUACCGAAAUAUGCUAAAUUUCUCAAGGAUCUAUGCACCCAUAAGAGGAAACUGAGAGGGGACGAAAGAGUAGCGAUGGGAGAGAAUGUGUCAGCAAUGCUCCAAAGAAAGCUUCCACCCAAGUGUGGAGAUCCAGGUAUGUUCACGAUCCCCUGUAAGAUAGGGAAUACACCGAUCAGGAAAGCAAUGUUAGAUUUAGGGGCGUCAAUCAAUGUGAUGCCAAAGACCAUUUUUGCUUCUCUAAAUCUUGGACCACUUAAAGAAACAGCCAUCAUAAUCCAACUAGCUGAUCGCACAAAUGCAUAUCCAGAUGGGCUAGUUGAGGAUGUCUUGGUUCAGGUAAAUGAGUUAGUCUUUCCUGCAGAUUUUUAUAUCUUGGACAUGGAAGAUGAAAAAUCAUUAAACCCGUCACCUAUCUUGUUAGGUAGACCAUUUCUUAGCACUGUCAGGACUAAAAUAGAUGUGAAUGAGGGUACUUUAUCAAUGGAGUUUGAUGGUGAAACUGUGAAUUUCAAUAUUUUUGAGGCGAUGAAGUAUCCAGAAGAAUCUAACUCGAUUUUUGCUUUGAGCAUUAUUGAGCCUUGUGUGCAGGAAACUUUCGAAUUAGACGGCAAAGACGCAUUGGAAGUGGCUCUAAUCAAGCAUCUGGAGUUAGGUGUAACUCUUGAUGUGGGCCUAAGGGAAGAAUUGCUCCAUACUGUUGAGGCCUUACACUCACUACCCAUCGUAUCUCCAAGGUAUGAACUUACUUCUCUUUUUGUGCCAGAGGCUCAGACAAAGUUGCUGCCUUCAGUGGUGCAGGCACCGGAGUUAGAAUUAAAGUCUCUCCCGAAGCAUCUAAAGUACGCAUUCCUAGGAGACCGGAAGACACUGCCGGUGAUCAUCUCUGCACACCUAUCUCCAAGUCAAGAAGACAAACUGGUACGAAUCCUUAGGGAGCAUAAGGAGGCAAUUGGGUGGAGCAUAGCAGAUAUUAAAGGGAUUAGCCCGUUCUUGUGUAUGCACCGGAUAAGACUCGAGAAUGAUGCAAAGCCGGUGAGGUAAGCACAGCGAAGAUUGAACCCUCUGAUGAUGGAAGUUGUGAAAAAGGAGAUACUCAAGUUUCUGGAGGUAGGGAUCAUUUUUAUUUCGGAUAGUCCGUGGGUGAGUCCUGUCCAAAUGGUCCCGAAGAAGGCGGGAGUGACCGUGGAGGAGAACCAGGAGGGUGAUAUGGUCCCGGUCAGGAAAGCUACUGGGUGGCGUCAGUGCAUCGACUAUCGGAGACUAAAUUCUGUGACUAAAAAGGACCAUUUUCCCCUCCCUUUUAUUGAUCAGAUGGUUGAACGACUGGCGGGUCGUGUUUACUAUUAUUUCUUGGAUGGCUUUUCAGGUUACUUUCAGAUUGCGAUCGCACCAGAAGACCAGGAAAAGACUACCUUCACAUGCCCAUUUGGUACGUUUGCCUACCGUCGGAUGCCUUUCGGCCUCUGCAAUGCUCCAGCAACCUUUCAACGGUGUAUGGUAAGUAUUUUCUCUGAAUAUGUGGAAAAAAUAAUUGAGGUGUUCAUGGAUGAUUUUAUUGUAUACGGGGACAGUUUUGAUGAAUGCCUUGAGAAUCUGGCUCUAAUUCUGAAAAGAUGCAUAGAGACGAAUUUGGUGCUUAAUUGGGAAAAAUGUCACUUUAUGGUAGAUCAUGGCAUUGUCUUAGGGCACGUUGUGUCGGCUAAGGGAAUAGAGGUAGAUAAAGCUAAAAUAGAUCUUAUUUCUGCUCUACCUUACCCCGUAUGUGUACGGGAAGUGAGUUCAUUUUUGCGCCAUGUAGGAUUUUACAGAAGGUUUAUCAAAGAUUUCUCAAAGAUAGGAGCACCCCUGUUCAAGUUACUGCAAAAGGACGUGCCAUUUGAUUUCACGAAUGAAUGUAAGGUGGCUUUUGAUAAAUUGAAGGAGUCGUUGACAUCGCCGCCUGUCAUUCAACCACCAGAUUGGAGCGUUCCGUUUGAAAUCAUGUGCGACGCAAGUGACUAUGCCGUGGGGGCCGUUUUGGGGCAAAGAAUUGGAAGAGUACCACACGCAAUCUACUACGCGUCGAGAGCAUUAAGUGGAGCCCAAUUUAAUUACUCCACGACGGAAAAAGAAUUACUAGCUGUUGUUUUUGCACUAGAAAAAUUUAGGUCAUAUUUGUUGGGUGCAAAAGUAAUUGUUUUCUCUGAUCAUGCAGCCUUGAGGUACUUGCUGGCGAAGAAGGAUGCAAAACCGAGGCUGAUUAGGUGGAUCUUGCUCCUGCAGGAAUUCGAUCUAGAGAUCAAGGACAAAAGCGGAGCCGAAAAUUUGGUGGCUGACCAUUUGAGCAGGUUGCUCGCAAAUCAAGAAGAUCUACCGUUGAGAAAAUCAUUUCCCGAGGAGCAACUUUUAGCCAUUAAUUCGUCGGCACCAUGGUAUGCUGAUAUUGUCAAUUUUUUGGUAGCAAACCAAUUACCUGCAGGUUGGCCAAAGGCUAGAAGAGAUAAAUUAAAAAGUGACGCCAAGCACUAUAUUUGGGAUGACCCCUACCUGUGGAGGCAAUGCUCAGACCAAGUGAUAAGAAGGUGUGUAAGUGCAGGUGAGUUUCAUUUUAUUUUGACUUUCUGUCAUUCAUUUGCAAUUGGAGGGCAUUUUGGUCCAAAGCGGACGGCUCGUAAAGUGUUAGAAAGUGGUUUUUAUUGGCCUACUCUCUUUAAGGAUGCAUAUUUGUUCUGCAAAUCUUGUGAUAAGUGUCAAAAGGUGGGAAAUAUUUCUCGUAGAGACCAAAUGAGUCAAACCCCCAUAUUAUUUGUUGAGAUUUUUGAUGUCUGGGGUAUAGAUUUCAUGGGUCCCUUCCCCUCAUCUUUUGGUUUCUUGUACAUUAUACUUGCUGUUGACUAUGUUUUCAAAUGGGUGGAGGCAAAAGCCACCCGGACUAAUGAUUCUAGAGUGGUCGCAGAUUUUAUAAGAUCUAACAUUUUUGUCCGUUUUGGAAUGUCGAGAGCUAUAGUGAGUGACAGGGGCACCCAUUUCUGCAAUAAGACAAUCACUGCAUUGUUUCGUAAGUAUGGUGUGCUCUAUAAAGUGUCCACUCCAUAUCAUCCACAGACGAAUGGGCAGGCCGAAGUGUCGAAUAGGGAGGUCAAGUCAAUUUUAGAGAAGAUAGUGCGGCUUGAUAGGAAAGACUGGAGUCUGAAAUUGGAAGAUGCUCUCUGGGCCUACCGCACGGCAUAUAAAACACCAAUUGGGAUGUCCCCAUACAGGUUAGUUUUUGGGAAGCCCUGCCACCUCCCGGUGGAAUUUGAACACAGAGCAUUCUGGGCGCUUAAGCGGUGUAAUAUGGACCUUAUGGAGGCCGGGGGACACAGAAAGCUCCAAUUACAAGAGUUGGAAGAGCUAAGGAAUGAAGCCUAUGAGAACGCUGCAAUAUAUAAGGAGAAGGGUAAAAUUUUUCACGACCAACAAGUGUCGAGGAAGUUGUUUGUCAUAGGGCAAAAAGUCCUGCUUUAUCACUCGAGACUUAAGUUUUUUCCUGGUAAGUUGCGUUCCCGUUGGAUUGGUCCAUUUGUUGUUACUAAUAUUUCUCAUUAUGGUGCAGUGGAAAUCCAAAGUCUUAAAACGGAAAAAAUGUUCGUAGUCAAUGGUCACCGUUUAAAACCUUAUUAUGAAGGGUUUAAUAGUGAGCAAAUGGAGGUUCUAUUCCUUGAUAAUCCAGGUGGUGAAGUCUAAACAGUUGAAGGCCAUGUCUAACCAAAGACGUUAAAGAAAGGUGCUGCUUGGGAGGCAACCCAAGUGAUCAUUCUUCAUUAUUCUGCAAUUUUUCAGUUUCCUUUUAAUGUUUUGAUUGUUUUUGUGGUGUUGGACAGAAGAAUAGGGGUUCCAAGGCGUGCCCACGCCUUGACGGAAAUUCGUUUGGACAUCAUUUAGAUGUUGUGGGCAGAAGACCAUGCCCUCCAAGGCGUGCCCACGCCUUCCAACCCCUCCGAUAGCGAAAGUAAAAAAAAAACAAAAAAAAAAAAUUCAAAGAAAAUUUUUGACCCAGACCCUACUUUUUCCACUUCGUCUUCUUCUUUGCUUGGCCUUGUCAAGUCCUCCAAGUUCCUCCGUUGAGAUUUCCCUUGUCCUAGUUUUAGUCUCUAUUUCACUUUCCUCUUUCCACCCAUCAGCAGAUCUGCGCGACGCAGACCAGCCCGCCGCGCGGGUUUUCUUCUCAGGCCGCAGCCCAGCGCCGUUCGUUCCAGCCGCGCGCGCGACCUGCCCCUGCCGACCUGUCCCCUGCGCAGCAGCCCCUGUGUGCGAGCCUUCUCUGUCCGCACGCCUGGCACGCCCAGCCAAACUUCGCGCGACCCUGCCGACCUUCUGCAUAACUAAUGAGUUUACUUCCUUCUGCAUUCUUUUGAUCCUUUUUGUUGGCACAAAACUGAAUGCAAAAUAGCAAUAACCAAAUAAGCUAAAUGAUACAAUUACAAACUAGAAAUUGAAAGACAGUAACGUACCUCCACCCUGGAAGGUAUAUGGAUUGCAUAACUUGCUCAAAAUACAAAGCCUGUUCUCUUUGGAGUUCAAAAAUCCUUCGCCCUUUUUCAUAGUUGCUACCAAAAGCUGUUCUUGAAAUUACAUCACUAGUAAAUGUUUGAAGAUAAGGCCACACAUCUAAUUCAAAAGAUCCUUCUGCUGGGGCAAGGUUCUCCCAUUUGCUUAACAUCUCAUUACAACUCAGAUAAAAUGCUGGCACCAUGUACUGGAUGUGAAGGAGAAUCAAAAGCGUAAGUCUUCCAGCUUUUAUGUUCUUCAUUAAUCAAAAAGUAAGAAUGGAAAUAUUAUUCAGUGAAAUUUUAAAAUUGGAAAGGCUGCAUUUGGUUCUUUAUCUGGACUAGAUUGGAACCAUAACUACAUUUAUAUGAUGCAAUACCAAACACUAGCCAGUUCCAUGUCUGAUAAAUAACAAGAAACGGCCAAAAGCAUGUAAGAUAUUGAAACAGCACCAAAUUUCAGGAGAAAAAGCUAGAAACAACCUUCAAUUUCUCUACAUGAAAAGCAGGAUUCAAUAAUCUUCUGUGUUUGGCCCAUUUUUCUGUAUCCAGGCUAGCAAGUCCUAGUGCUCGAAGUUUACUGAUUGGAUUUGCCCGAGGCUUCUGAUAAGUAAAAUUUUUUGUGAAGACCUCCUUCACUUGUUCAGAAUCCAAGAUAACCAUUGCCGGCCUUGGUCCAAGCCAAAAAAAGCUAUUUUUACCUACAAAAUAAUUUUUGAUAAGCAACUUAUCCACUCUAAAAUAAAAAGAUUGGGUCAACCAUAUAUGAAAUGCAUGAUUGCUGAAAAACACAGCAAACCAAAUAGUCUUCAGGCAAAUUUGGAGAACAAACCUUUAUGUUGCAUUGUUUCAUUGAUGAAGGGCACGAUUCUGGGAAAGAUAUCAUCUGUUAUAGAAAUUGGUUUGGACUUAACCUCCUCAAGCAUCCUUCCUAUGUCUCUGGUGUCUCCAAACAAGAACCUGUAAGAGUUUCCCUGUAGACCUUGCCGCCUGAGGCUUUUCUCCAUCUUCUUUGGUGUGAUCCAAGCCCAAUUCAAGAAUCUCCAUGCCCCGAUGAGAAGAACUAUAACUGACGAAACUCCAAUCAAGCUAUAGAAAAAGUCCAUUUUCUCUGAUGCGCUUCCACUCCUUCAGUCAAACUUUCUGCUGGCAGGGGGAACUUGCGAAGCGGUUAGUUAUUAAGGAUGGAGAACCUCAACUUUGGGACACUUAAUUCUGAAAUCUAUGCAUAUCCAUCUGUAAAAUCAGCAAAGACAAAGUAGCUUGAUGGUAUGUUCUAUGUUUACGGCAUCUGCUAAAAUGGAGAUGCUCUGAGACUUCAACACUCACCUAUAAAGGACAUUUGAGCCUUUAAUAUUCUUGUUUAUGGUAAAAUGAUUUUUCUACUCGUUCACUUAAAUUACUAUAUGAACACACAUAAUACAAUUAUUAUAUCCUCUGUAUUUAAACGCUUUCCUAGUAACUAUACUUUUUAAAAAAAAAAAAAUUAGCACUCUUGAGGCCACCCUUUGAGAACAAAUCAACAAAGCUCGAUUAUCCUGCAAGCCUCACAAAUCAUCAUCAGAAGUCUUUUUCUAUCUGCCUUCUAGAAAAAGUGUCAGUUCAAUAAAUAGAACUUGAGAAUUUGACUUUUGAAUUACCGUAAAAAAAAAGGAUGAAGUAGAAGACUAUAACCGGCUAACUCUACAUAUAAAUGGCUAUUGUUAGAAUAGCUACUCUUUGAACAGUCAUCCAUGGCUAUUAUUAAUGUGCUAAUGUGUAAUAACAAUUUGCACCCCUCAGCUAUUAUUAAUUAGUGAUCUGAACCAUAAACAAUUAAUUGUAGCAAUGUUGAACAAAAAAGUAAUUGUAGCACUAGAGUCCAUUAUGUUUUUGCUGAAAUCUAUUUUUUUUUAAAAAAAAAAAACAUUUUGUGGCUACAGUCAAAUGAAAAGAUUUUAGUACCCUAAUGUAAUAUGUAGACACCAAAUUUUAGCUCAAGUUCAUUUACUCUUUAUUUCUUAGUUUUUGUUUUUGUCAUGUUUGUUUUAUUCAUUUUUAGUUUUAGUCUUUUUAGUUUUCAUGUUAUUAUUUAUUUUAAGCUUUUAGCAUGGAAUUUCUCAAAAGAAAAAGAAAACAAUGAAAAAAUGUAGAAAAAGAUUAAAAAAUGGCCAUUUUUGUUGUUUUUAGUUGUUUAGAUUUUUUAAAAUUGUUUUCAUUUGUUAUUAUUAUUAUUUUUACUUGGUUUUUGUCAAUUCUGUUAAUUAGUUAUUAUUAUUUAGUUUUACUUUUGUUUUUGUUAAAAUUAUUAAAAAAAAAAAAAAAAAAGUCACGCAUGCCAAAAGCUGCGUGUUGCCGCAGCUUGCAAGAAGUAAUUGCAGGGAGUCCUUGGGGGGUAAAUUUAGCUACAAAGGCCAGGUGCCUAGGACACCUGGAAGGGGAGAGGAAUCUAGAAGAAGGGGGGCCGUAGGAUGAAGGGUUUGGAGAAGGGGUUUUGCAUUUUGAGGGUAGCCGCAAGAGAAGAAAAGGGGGAGUUCCAGCAGUGAGCGGCGGUAGAAAAGAAAAACCAGAACGGGAGAGGGGGAGUGACGGCUGCAUCAGGAAAAGAAAGAGAACCGAGAGAGAGUGGAGGAGGUUUAGAAGGCAACAAAAGAAAGAAAAGGGAGGAUCCGCGGGGGAGAGAGAAAGCAAAAACAGAAAAACUGGAGCAAAAGGGAAAAAACCGAGAGAGUGAGUCGUGAGCGAGAACUAGACAAAGGGAAAGGUCAGAAGAUUGCUUCUGGUGGCGGCUGUGGAUUAACGAAGGAACGAAAGGGGAAGGUUGAGUGACGAGACAGAAAAGAGCCACCAGAAAAAAUAAGAAGAAGGAGAGAGCUAGCAGCAAAAGGGCUGGGCAAGAUCAGAGAUUCGAGAAAGAGUAAGCGGAAAAGGAGAUCCAAGGUGGAAACCCAGAGUCAGGUUCGGUCGUCGAUAUCUUCAUCGAAUCCAGGCAGUGAACAGGUAGUCAUUAACCCUUGUUCUUGGCUAUUUUCAUAUGAAAUCUGGUCUGCGCAACUAGACGUUCUGAGCUCUUACGUAGAGGAUUUGAUUGCUAGGCAUAUGUUGUCUUCGUGCGUUUCCUUUCAUUCCACAGCCCAAAGCUGCUGCCUUUUGCUGCCAUUUUUUUGUUGUAUUAUGGGUUUCUCAUUUACUUAAAUGUUGUGGAAUCUGGUCUAGCAGGCUGCAUGUUUCUUGGUUAUGUUUAUGUGCCAAUUUGGAAAGAACAACCCGAAGCUUUACUGCAGAAAAAUGGAAUCUUGCUUAGAUUGAUUCUUUAAACCUGCGGGCGUUGCUCCCUCUAGUUACUGCUUGCAUGAUACUCUUCCUUUUCCAUGUUGAUCUGGCUGGCCGAAAGUGUCUUGGAGCUGUAAAAUGGUUGAACGAAAAGUACAGCAAGUUUUCUUUUGUAGUUGCAGCCACUUUCAUCCGUGGGUAUUGCAUGAUUCAGAUUCAAUAUGUGCAUGAUCUCUUGCUAUGUUUGGCUUGUUCGGAUGUCAAGUUUUUGUUGUGUUUGCUUAGCUUGAAGUUUGGAUGAUUGGAUGUUGGGUCUAGAUUCGGUACUUGCAGAUGAAAGUUGCAGGCGCGUGUUCUUCGGUUGCAGAAAUUUUCCUUGUAACAUUUGCAUAAAGAUUGCUGGAAUUUUCUUUACCUCAUUUUUAGUUGAUUGGUUUGCUGAAUUCUGUGGUGGUCUUCAGUUUCGGAUUGCAUUGGUUUUGAUUGAAUGACAUGUUAGUUGCUUUAGGUUUGCAUCUAAGAAACCUGUUAUAUUGCAGCAAUAUUUCUUUCAUUGCCAAAGUUUUGAUUCAUUUUGAAGUCCAUGUUUGGUGUGUUGUUGAGUUGGUCUAUCAUGAACAUGUUUACCCAGUCUUGUUGGCAUUUUCGAUGUGUUUUCAUAGUUGCAUUGCUGCAUUCGAUAGAAAUAGAAGGAAUGUGGGGUGGUCAUGUUGCCUGGAAUUUAGUUUGCUUCGCAUUCAGAUUGAUGCACGAAAUUCUGGACAGAUCCGUUUCCUUCCUUUGCUUGUUGUAGUCCAGGUUUCAUUUGAAGUGUUUGAUUCACUUGUAGCUUAAUGGGUAUACCAUGUACGCGCUCACCCCGAGCUGUCUUCUUGUUAUCUAGUUGCAUGAUCGAAUCUUUUGGGUAAAGAAUCAGUAAUGGAGAGAACCACUUCUGAGGAAAACUUGUCUUGCAUGAUCUCAAUUCCAGUUUUUUGUAGGGUGGAAUACUGAAUGUUACUGAUUAUCUGGUUUUAGAUUAAGGUUUUGAUGUGCAUUGAAGUGUUCUUGAGCAAAAGGGUGGAAAUCAAGGUGUGAAAAUGAAUGUUGCGGCUGCAUUUUCUGGUUACAGAAUGCAUUCAUUACAAAUAUUUCUUGUUGCAGAACGUUUCACAGCUUUUGUACGCAUUUUGCAUGGAAAACUUUUGAAAAUUGCAUUCCAACCCCCCAAGUUCCCUUUUGUUUCACUAUGGCCCAAUCAAUUGAAUGAUUCCCUCAAUUUGGCCCUUGGUAGCUUUUAAUUCUACAUUUUCGUUGCUUGUUUGUUUUAAUUAAUUACUAUGCUUUGUUUCAAUCGCACUUAAUUCAUGACUUUAGGGGCUUUAUGACCAAGAGAGCUUGUGUUUGCUUAUUUUUUCAAAUAAAUUGGUACCUUGACCAUUUCUUUUAUUUUGGAGGAUAAAUAAAUGAUUCCACUCCAUUUGGGGCAUCGAUUCGAGGGAGGUACACUCUAUCCCUUAUUUGCACUUCAUUUGACCUUAUGUGCUCCUACGUGUUAUGUGGAUAUGCAUGUCUACUUCGCUUUCCUUGCCUUGUCUAAUUUUCUUUCCGUUAUUUCAUUUACUUUCUGCUUUCAUUUAAGUUAUUCAUUAUGGGGUAUGUGUACACCUCUUGGCUUGUAAUAGAUAGGGCUUGGCGAGCAUCUGGUCCAUUUCCCCUUCCCCUUGGUUGCUUGCUUAAUUGCUUUAUUAGGCUCUUUAAGUUAUUCAUUAUGGGGUAUGUGUACACCUCUUGGCUUGUAAUAGAUAGGGCUCGGAGAGCAUCUGGUCCAUUUCCCCUUCCCCUUGGUUGCUUGCUUUUUGUUGCUACAUGUUUAAUUGCUUUAUUAGGCUCUUGCAUCUAGUCGAGCAUGCUAAGUGUUACGUGUUACGUGUUUACGAGUGUUUUGGCAUGUCUACUUGCUUUCAUAGCCAUGAAUGAAUGGUAUGGAUGAAUGUACGUCACCACACUAGUCCAACGCUAGUUGUGGCUUCUUUUAUCGUUUCCACUAGUCUAAUGCUAGUAGGAAUUCAUAGAAAGGGCUAGUCCAACGCUAGACCCAAUAGGAUUUUUCCUUUGUUUUUCAUUAAUGCAUUAUUUGCCUGUUCACUACAUAUCAUGCAUUUUUCCCUUAGUUUUAUCAUCUGGCAUGCUCCUCGAUUCCCCUUUCCCCUCACUUUAGGUCUUGCAUCUCAUGCUAGUUAGGGUACAUUCGCCUGAAGAGUCCCCUUAAAUAUGGGAUAUAGACGAGUGUGGCUUUUCUAAGCCUUAGCACGCUUAUAUUCCCUCUACAAAAGGGAAAAUUGAGUCACAAUAUAGGUCUCCCCGUAC